UACAGAGGUCCCGAGCGUUGUUCGGAUUCAUUGGGCGUAAAGAGCUCGUAGGCGGCUGUUCAAGUCGAACGUGAAAACUCGGAGCUCAACUCCGAGCCUGCGUUCGAUACUGGAUGGCUAGAGUCUGGUAGGGGGAUCUGGAAUUCCUAGUGUAGAGGUGAAAUUCGUAGAUAUUAGGAAGAACACUCGUGGCGAAGGCGGCCAGCUAGACCAGUUCUGACACUGAGGCGCGACAGCGUGGGGAGCAAACAGG
rnacentral:rRNA from 1 species